ensembl:lncRNA LINC01969 long intergenic non-protein coding RNA 1969
GGGGAAGGAGUUAUACUCAGUGGUGGCCAUAGAGAGUUGGUGACUGCCUUUGAGAGGAGAAUGGUUGUGAUCCUUUUGCCGAGAACUCACCCAGAGGACUUAUACCUUGGUGACAGCAGAAGGACUCAAGUUAGAAGGCCAGGGCCCUUAAAGGGAGGGGACGAUUCGAGGAAAGUAUAGAUUAGAAAACUGAGGCCCAGAGAAGGAAAGUAGCUGCCAGAGGUCACACAGCUAGGAUUGAGGGAUCAGAGAGUUCCUCCUCCCCCACAAGCUGGCACAUGUGGAUAUUGGCUCUGUUUUGCCUUUGACCCCUAGUGAAAGAAAAUACUGAGACGGAGUCUCGCUCUGUCGCCCAGGUUGGAGUGAAGCGGCUAGAUCUCAGCUCACUGCAACCUCUGCCUCCCAGGUUUAAGCAAUUCUCCUGUCUCAGCCUCCAGAGUAGCUGGGACUACAGGCGCAUGCCACCAUGCCCUACUAAUUUUUUGUAUUUUUAGGAGAGACAGGCCUUCACCAUGUUGGUCAAGCUGGUCUCGAACUCCUGACCUCAGAUCUUCUUCCAUAUAUGGCUCUGUGUGUCUCCUGUCCUUCCCUGUCUCCUCACUGCUUUUCAGCUGGUAGACCCCUGUGGGGACAACAGAUCAGAGCUUGGUCACCAAUAUGGACAUCUAGGUCUGAGCAGGGCCCACUCCCCGGGGGCGCAUCAGCUCCAUCCCGGCACCCUUUACACUGGCCUUCUCUUCACAAAGGACCACAGGUCAUCCUCAAGCCUUCCUCCCAGGCUAUCCUUGUCCCUGAAUACUAAUGUCUAAAGGUCAGCCCAGCUACCAGCAGUGUGCAUGUGAUGUGUCCCAUCUCCCCUUCGGAUUGGAGGAAGAAGCUGUGUCCCUCCCAUCAGACAGACGGUCUCCUUAAAGAUUCUCCUGGUCUCCAGCUUGGGCUCUGCUGGAAAGAAGAGGAAGUAUUUAGCAAGGGUGAAGAUGGGUUCUUACUUCCCUGAGGCAACCAGAGAUAAGAAAAGACCAGAAUAUGAAUAUCCAGCAUUCCACAAAGAAUCCUACAGGCAGGGAUAUUGCCCAAUCACCAGUGCCUCGCAUCCCAGUUCUAUCCAAGAUCCAAGCUUGAUAUCCUCCUGAAAGACUUCCUGAAUCAGGUCACCAACAUGGACAUCUGAACUUCCAGAAUCAGGUCACCGUCUUUCUUCUCAUCUCUGGAUGUAUUUGGAGCUCAUUUGUCUGACGGUUUUUGAAUGCUAUCUUUUAAAAAUAAACUUUUACAAUUUGGGUUUAAUAAUUCUAGAUUUAUAGAAAAGUUGAAAAGAAAGUACAGAAAGUUCCCAUAUAUCCCUUAUCCAGUUCUCUUAAUGUUAACCUCCUACAUCAUCAUGGAACAUUUGCCAAAAUGAAGAUGUCAACACUGGUGCUUUGCUGUGAACUAAACUCCAGACUUUAUUCGGAUUUCAUGAAUUUUUCUCCUAAGGUCCCUUUUCCGUUCCGGCAUUCCACCCAGGAUAUCACAUUGCAUUUGGUGUUUGUGUCUCCUUGGUCUCCUCUGGUUCUUGAGAGUUUCUCAGUCUCUCCUUGUUUUUCGUGACUGAAGUUUCAAGGAGUACUGGUCAGGUAUUCCAUAGAAUGUCCUACUGUUAGCUUUCAGCAGUAAAAGCCUUUCCACAAACAAAACCUUCUGCAGAGUCCUAAUCUGUGAACAGACAAGAAUGGAGUUGCCAUGGUCACAGCAGUGAUGAGAAAUGAUCCCCUGAAUAUGAAUCUCCAUGAAACCCCCCGAGAAUUAU